GACGAACGCUGGCGGCGUGCCUAAUACAUGCAAGUAGAACGCUGAAGGAGGAGCUUGCUUCUCUGGAUGAGUUGCGAACGGGUGAGUAACGCGUAGGUAACCUGCCUGGUAGCGGGGGAUAACUAUUGGAAACGAUAGCUAAUACCGCAUAAGAGUAGAUGUUGCAUGACAUUUGCUUAAAAGGUGCAAUUGCAUCACUACCAGAUGGACCUGCGUUGUAUUAGCUAGUUGGUGGGGUAACGGCUUACCAAGGCGACGAUACAUAGCCGACCUGAGAGGGGGAUCCGCCACACUGGGACUGAGACACGGCCCAGACUCCUACGGGAGGCAGCAGUAGGGAAUCUUCGGCAAUGGACGGAAGUCUGAACGAGCAACGCCGCGUGAGUGAAGAAGGUUUUCGGAUCGUAAAGCUCUGUUGUAAGAGAAGAAAGAGUGUGGGAGUGGAAAGUUCACACUGUGACGGUAUCUUACCAGAAAGGGACGGCUAACUACGUG
rnacentral:rRNA from 1 species